CGGCCGUGGAAUUCUCGGUUGAGAGAAUUUGUUUGAGAUAGAUCUACGUCUCUUCUUUGUUCUUCUCUACUGUGUUUUCUUCGCCGAAAAAAUUCACUGGUUUAUAAUUUUUUUUUGCAGUGGCUAUGAUGAUUACUGUGUAUCCCGGCUCAUUAUGAGACUUUUUUGUAAGGUCCGGGAAUUGAAUUUUUCCACACAUAAAUCUGAGCUUUUCU
rnacentral:lncRNA from 1 species